rnacentral:rRNA from 1 species
UACGUAGGGUGCGAGCGUUGUCCGGAUUUAUUGGGCGUAAAGAGCGUGUAGGCGGCUUUACAGGUCCGUUGUAAAAACUCGAGGCUCAACCUCGAGACGCCGGUGGAAACCGUAAAGCUAGAGUCCGGAAGAGGAGAGUGGAAUUCCUGGUGUAGCGGUGAAAUGCGCAGAUAUCAGGAAGAACACCCGUGGCGAAGGCGGCUCUCUGGGACGGUACUGACGCUGAGACGCGAAAGCGUGGGGAGCGAACAGG